AUGAACGCUGGCGGCGUGCCUAAUACCUGCAAGUCGAGCGAACGGACGAGAAGCUUGCUUCUCUGAUGUUAGCGGCGGACGGGUGAGUAACACGUGGAUAACCUACCUAUAAGACUGGGAUAACUUCGGGAAACCGGAGCUAAUACCGGAUGAUAUUUUGAACCGCAUGGUUCAAAAGUGAAAGACGGUCUUGCUGUCACUUAUAGAUGGAUCCGCGCUGCAUUAGCUAGUUGGUAAGGUAACGGCUUACCAAGGCAACGAUGCAUAGCCGACCUGAGAGGGUGAUCGGCCACACUGGAACUGAGACACGGUCCAGACUCCUACGGAGGCAGCAGUAGGGAAUCUUCCGCAAUGGGCGAAAGCCUGACGGAGCAACGCCGCGUGAGUGAUGAAGGUCUUCGGAUCGUAAAACUCUGUUAUUAGGGAAGAACAUAUGUGUAAGUAACUGUGCACAUCUUGACGGUACCUAAUCAGAAAGCCACGGCUAACUACGUG
rnacentral:rRNA from 1 species